rnacentral:rRNA from 1 species
AGUUUGAUCCUGGCUCAGGAUGAACGCUAGCUACAGGCUUAACACAUGCAAGUCGAGGGGCAGCAUUGGAGUAGCAAUACUUCAGAUGGCGACCGGCGCACGGGUGAGUAACACGUAUCCAACCUGCCGCUUACUCGGGGAUAGCCUUUCGAAAGAAAGAUUAAUACCCGAUGGUAUAAAGAGUUCGCAUGUUCUCUUUAUUAAAGAAUUUCGGUAAGCGAUGGGGAUGCGUUCCAUUAGAUAGUUGGCGGGGUAACGGCCCACCAAGUCUACGAUGGAUAGGGGUUCUGAGAGGAAGGUCCCCCACAUUGGAACUGAGACACGGUCCAAAUCCUACGGGAGGCAGCAGUGAGGAAUAUUGGUCAAUGGACGAGAGUCUGAACCAGCCAAGUAGCGUGAAGGAUGACUGCCCUAUGGGUUGUAAACUUCUUUUAUAAGGGAAUAAAGUGAGGGACGUGUCCCUUUUUGUAUGUACCCUAUGAAUAAGGAUCGGCUAACUCCGUGCCAGCAGCCGCGGUAAUACGGAGGAUCCAAGCGUUAUCCGGAUUUAUUGGGUUUAAAGGGAGCGUAGGUUGACAUAUAAGUCAGCUGUGAAAGUUUACGGCUCAACCGUGAAAUUGCAGUUGAUACUGUAUGUCUUGAGUGUACAAGAGGUGGGCGGAAUUCGUGGUGUAGCGGUGAAAUGCUUAGAUAUCACGAAGAACUCCAAUUGCGAAGGCAGCUCACUGGGGUACAACUGACACUGAGGCUCGAAAGUGUGGGUAUCAAACAGGAUUAGAUACCCUGGUAGUCCACACAGUAAACGAUGAAUACUCGCUGUUUGCGAUAUACAGUAAGCGGCCAAGCGAAAGCAUUAAGUAUUCCACCUGGGGAGUACGCCGGCAACGGUGAAACUCAAAGGAAUUGACGGGGGCCCGCACAAGCGGAGGAACAUGUGGUUUAAUUCGAUGAUACGCGAGGAACCUUACCCGGGCUUGAAUUGCAGAGGAACAUAGUUGAAAGAUUAUGGCCGCAAGGUCUCUGUGAAGGUGCUGCAUGGUUGUCGUCAGCUCGUGCCGUGAGGUGUCGGCUUAAGUGCCAUAACGAGCGCAACCCUUAUCAUUAGUUACUAACAGGUCAUGCUGAGGACUCUAGUGAGACUGCCGUCGUAAGAUGUGAGGAAGGUGGA